GUGAGGAAUAUUGGUCAAUGGGCGAGAGCCUGAACCAGCCAAGUAGCGUGAAGGAUGAAGGCUCUAUGGGUCGUAAACUUCUUUUAUAUGGGAAUAAAGUUUUCCACGUGUGGAAUUUUGUAUGUACCAUAUGAAUAAGGAUCGGCUAACUCCGUGCCAGCAGCCGCGGUAAUACGGAGGAUCCGAGCGUUAUCCGGAUUAAUUGGGUUUAAAGGGAGCGUAGGUGGAUUGUUAAGUCAGUUGUGAAAGUUUGCGGCUCAAGCGUAAAAUUGCAGUUGAGACUGGCAGUCUUGAGUACAGUAGAGGUGGGCGGAAUUCGUGGUGUAGCGGUGAAAUGCUUAGAUAUCACGAAGAACUCCGAUUGCGAAGGCAGCUCACUAGACUGUCACUGACACUGAUGCUCGAAAGUGUGGGUAUCAAACAGGAUUAGAUACCCCAGUAGUCC
rnacentral:rRNA from 1 species